rnacentral:tRNA from 1 species
AGCUAGUAAACUAAUUUUUAGGUUUAUAUUUCGGCUAUAAAGGGUGAAGCGAUUUUCUGCUAGUUA